UGACGAUCAGAGGGUUGUUAGUCUGUGUCUCUAAAAUAAUAGCUGCUUGUAGCAGGUGCCAAGGAAAGGCAGUCUCCCAACAGAUAGAAACAACAGAAGCUGGUGAUUGACAGUUCCUGAUAAGAUCUCAGGAAUUGGGCAAGUGAGUUCAAGCAUGCGCAUUUAGAGGCAAAAUGGCGGAGUUUAACUGAUACGUGACCUUCUUCUGGGAACACUUGACCGAUGCCAAGAACAUGGACACCUUCUACCAGUGACAUAUUUUGGUGAGCCAGCCAGGAGGAAGAGAGACCAUCAAGCUUCAGAUGAUCAUGCAACAAAGGUUCCAGCCAGUUGCAGGUGAAGACACCACCUCCAGCAGUAAAGAAGCUACCCCACCUCCACUAGACAGAGCAGAGCUGGAGUGCAAUGGCAUGAUCUCCGCUCACCACAACC